rnacentral:rRNA from 1 species
AGAGUUUGAUCCUGGCUCAGGAUGAACGCUAGCGGCAGGCUUAACACAUGCAAGUCGAGGGGUAGGUUACUUCGGUAACUGAGACCGGCGCACGGGUGCGUAACGCGUAUACAAUCUACCUUUUACAGAGGGAUAGCCCAGAGAAAUUUGGAUUAAUACCUCAUAGUAUUUUCGAAUGGCAUCAUUUGAUUAUUAAAGUUCCAACGGUAAAAGAUGAGUAUGCGUCCCAUUAGCUAGAUGGUAAGGUAACGGCUUACCAUGGCAACGAUGGGUAGGGGUCCUGAGAGGGAGAUCCCCCACACUGGUACUGAGACACGGACCAGACUCCUACGGGAGGCAGCGGUGAGGAAUAUUGGACAAUGGGCGCAAGCCUGAUCCAGCCAUGCCGCGUGCAGGAAGGCGGUCCUAUGGAUUGUAAACUGCUUUUAUACAGGAAGAAACACUCCCUCGUGAGGGAACUUGACGGUACUGUAUGAAUAAGCAUCGGCUAACUCCGUGCCAGCAGCCGCGGUAAUACGGAGGAUGCAAGCGUUAUCCGGAAUCAUUGGGUUUAAAGGGUCCGUAGGCGGUUUAAUAAGUCAGUGGUGAAAGCCCAUCGCUCAACGAUGGAACGGCCAUUGAUACUGUUAAACUUGAAUUAUUAGGAAGUAACUAGAAUAUGUAGUGUAGCGGUGAAAUGCUUAGAGAUUACAUGGAAUACCAAUUGCGAAGGCAGGUUACUACUAAUAUAUUGACGCUGAUGGACGAAAGCGUGGGGAGCGAACAGGAUUAGAUACCCUGGUAGUCCACGCCGUAAACGAUGGAUACUAGCUGUUCGGAGCAAUCUGAGUGGCUAAGCGAAAGUGAUAAGUAUCCCACCUGGGGAGUACGUUCGCAAGAAUGAAACUCAAAUGAAUUGACGG